UACGGAGGGUGCAAGCGUUGUUCGGAAUUACUGGGCGUAAAGCGCGCGCAGGUGGUUUGCUCAGUCAGAUGUGAAAGCCCACGGCUUAACCGUGGACGUGCAUUUGAUACUGGCAGACUUGAGUACUGGAGGGGGUAGUGGAAUUCCCGGUGUAGAGGUGAAAUUCGUAGAUAUCGGGAGGAAUACCGGUGGCGAAGGCGACUACCUGGCCAGAUACUGACACUGAGGCGCGAAAGCGUGGGGAGCAAACAGG
rnacentral:rRNA from 2 species